rnacentral:rRNA from 1 species
CAGGCCUAACACAUGCAAGUCGAGCGAUGAAGCACCUUCGGGUGUGGAUUAGCGGCGAACGGGUGAGGAACACGUGAGGAAUCUGCCUUCCACUCUGGGAUAACUCCGGGAAACCGGGGCUAAUACCGGAUACUUUCAACUGGCGGCAUCGCCGGUUGAAGAAAGUUUUUCGGUGGAAGAUGACCUCGCGGCCUAUCAGCUUGUUGGUGAGGUAAUGGCUCACCAAGGCAACGACGGGUAGCCGGCCUGAGAGGGCGACCGGCCACACUGGGACUGAGACACGGCCCAGACUCCUACGGGAGGCAGCAGUGGGGAAUAUUGGGCAAUGGAGGAAACUCUGACCCAGCGACGCCGCGUGAGGGAUGAAGGCCUUCGGGUUGUAAACCUCUUUCAGCAGGGAAUAAGCGAAAGUGAAGGUACCUGCAGAAGAAGCACCGGCAACUAUG